rnacentral:rRNA from 1 species
GUCUUCUCGUUUUUGUGGGAGGUCGGGCCUGCCCAGUGAUAUAUUUUAACGGCCGCGGUAUUUUGACCGUGCAAAGGUAGCAUAAUCAUUAGUCCUUUAAUAAGGGGCUGGAAUGAAGGGUUUGACGAAAUAAUAACUGUCUCAUUAUGAAGAUUUUGAAUUUAACUUUUAAGUUAAAAGGCUUAAAUUUUAUUGGAAGACGAGAAGACCCUGUAGAGCUUUAUAUGUGUUUAUUUAAUUUUUGUUGUCUAUUGUCUUGUUUUUUAAAUAUGUAUUUGGUUGGGGUGACGAGGAAUAAAUAUAGAACUUUCAUUAUUUAUAUAACAUUUGUUUAUGAUUAUUAGAUCCAUUAUUAUUGAUUAGUAGAAUAAGUUACCUCAGGGAUAACAGCGUAAUCUUCUUUAGGAGUUCAAAUUUACAAGAAGGCUUGCGACCUCGAUGUUGGAUUAAGAUGAUAAUUAGGUGUAGUAGCUUAGUUAAUAGGUCUGUUCGACCUUUAAAUUCUUACAUGAUCUGAGUUCAGACCGG